UACGGGGGGGAGCAAGCGUUGUUCGGAAUCACUGGGCGUAAAGGGUGCGUAGGCGGGUCUUUAAGUCAGGGGUGAAAUCCUGGAGCUCAACUCCAGAACUGCCUUUGAUACUGAGGAUCUUGAGUUCGGGAGAGGUGAGUGGAACUGCGAGUGUAGAGGUGAAAUUCGUAGAUAUUCGCAAGAACACCAGUGGCGAAGGCGGCUCACUGGCCCGAUACUGACGCUGAGGCACGAAAGCGUGGGGAGCAAACAGG
rnacentral:rRNA from 1 species